rnacentral:lncRNA from 1 species
CGCAAAAUGGCGGCAGGAAGGGCCGGGCCGGGGGCGUGCNANCCGAGCCACCGCGGCAUCUCCCGGCCGGGGGCACCGCCGCAGCCCCGAACCGAGCCCGCGGGGAGCAGGCAGCACGCCGGGCGCAGCGAGGGGCGGCUUCGGUGCCUUCGUCCUCCGAAGGGAGGCGGGCAUGCAUCAACUCGGCUGCUCUCUGUGGCGUAAACAUUGGCUGGAGGCAGACUGGUGAUUGCUCCUUCAGGAGGUGGGACUGCUGUAAAACUGAAGGAAAUGAAAUUUCAGGGCAGGAGCUGGAUGAAAAUGCUGCCUGCUAGAAAGCAGAGGGAGGUGAGUCACGGCAACUUGACUGGCUUUCUGUUGCUACAGUACCAUGAUGUUAUUCUACUGUUUCCUCAGAAGUUACAGUGGCUGCAGUCACUCAAAGCUGCUUUGUGAGGGGAAAGGUACCAUAGGUAUGUAAGGUGUGCUGGGGUAGAUCUGUGUUUUAAAGGGGCCAUGUAGAAGCAUGAGGUUAUGCAGCUUCAGGACCAAGCUGAGAAAUU